UACGUAGGGUGCAAGCGUUAAUCGGAAUUACUGGGCGUAAAGCGUGCGCAGGCGGUGAUGUAAGACAGAUGUGAAAUCCCCGGGCUCAACCUGGGAACUGCAUUUGUGACUGCAUCGCUGGAGUGCGGCAGAGGGGGGUGGAAUUCCGCGUGUAGCGGUGAAAUGCGUAGAUAUGCGGAGGAACACCAAUGGCGAAGGCAAUCCCCUGGGCCGGCACUGACGCUAAUGCACGAAAGCGUGGGGAGCAAACAGG
rnacentral:rRNA from 1 species